GUUGGGGUCACCUCCACAGUUAAGUCAUGUACCUGGUGGAGACUAUGCUUGCGGAGAAUGGUUUAAGGAACAAAGAGUUCUUCAUUUUUCUUUUCUUCCUUUUUUCUUGAUUCUUCUUUCUUGGCAGUCUGGAUUCAGAAUGUUUUCAUGCCGGGUGGCCAAGGUGAGGGAGCCUUUUCAGGCAAGGAAGGGCGAGUUUGUUUUCUGAUCUGCAGGGCUGGGUGUGCCGUCUCAUGGCUGAAAACUGAAAGGCUGCACCAGAGUUCCCAGUUCAAAUUGCAGCUUCUGAUCCUGGCACUGAGGACGACCUUGAGCUACUUAACCAAGCCGGCAGAGCUUCACUUUCCUCAUCUCUUAAGUGAAAGGGAUCACAGUAUCUAGCCCAAAAGAUUAGUUUGAGGAUUCAAAGAGACAAUGGGUGUAAAAGACUCAGCACAUUGAGUUUCAGUUAAUGCAGUGAAUAGUAACAACGACAACAACAAUAAUAUUAUUAAUUGUGGGAACAGAAAACUAGGUCCUGAGGUUUCUUUGUGCCAGAGAUGGAUACAAAUUAGUUAGGAGAGCAAGCAUUUUUGCCACUAGAUUUCCAGACCUGGUGGCAAAGAGGAACUAGUUGAGGGAGACCCCCUGGAGUCUUUGCAAUUUUCCAUCAAUUGUCUGAGCCGAAAAGAUUCCUAGAGUUCAUGGGGUCUUAAGUACCUGGAGGUGCUGAGGCCCAGAGAGGGAAAGGGACUUACCCCAGGUCACACAGUAGCAGAUGGUCGGAUCCCAGACGUUCUUAUCAUGCUUGAAUUAAUCAUUGUGGUCUAGCUUUUCUAACACAACAGCAGGCUAUGCCCCCAGCAAGGAUGAGUCACUGGUUGGCUGUGCUCAAGCCUGACCUGGGCUCAGAGCCAAGCCUGAUGGCGAUGAGGGAUACUGGUGUGAACACCGCCUUCUGCCUACCCAGUAUGUCACUUUUCUAAAGCAGGUAACUACCCAUUCAGGUGUUCUGGUCCUUGUUCCUGCAAGGGUCUCAGUGUCCUCAUCUGUAAAAUGGAAGUACCAUAGCAUCUACCUCCCUGGGGAUGAUUGUGCAGACUCAGUCUGUUAAUGUAAAGUUCUUUGAACAGUCUGACGUGGAUUAACUGCUCAGUAAAUGUUGGCCACCAACUAAUGCAGAGGUCACAGUUCCUGGAAAGGUGGCAAGACAGCACCCUGCAGAGGGCUGAGCCUUUGGAAGGGUCUCAGAGAUAGAGAAUUGCACAGAGAGAGUCCCAGUCCACAGAGAAGGUGAAAACUCAAAUGCUCUCCAGAGUGUUACUGACUCUCACUUCCAACAUCCAACAGAGCCUCCAACAGAGGCUCACACAGGUGGCCCUCUGACCAAAGCCAGCCCUCUCAUAAGAUACCAUGUGGCCCGUAAAUGAAGCAGAUCCCCAAAUGGUGACAGAACAACAUCUAAGUGAGAAGAGUGAAGACACAGGCAAUGACUGCUCUUCGUGUCCAUUUGUACAAAACAAGAGCCUUGGAUAGGCUUUGAUAUAUUGGUUCUUGCAGAGAAGGUCUCUGGAAGGAUCUGCAGGAAACUGGGAAAAGUUGGUGCCUCAGUGAGCAAGCUGGGGUACUAGGAUUCAAGGAGGUGAGAGAGUUUUUGUGCUGUUUGAAUGCUUUAUUUUGAAUGUUUUAUUUUUUGAAUUUGUAAUGUUUCAUCAAUAAUAAGGCAAGGAAAUUUUAGAGAUGUUGGUCAAAGAAUACAAAAUUUCAGUUAGAUAGGAGGAAUAAAUUGAAGGCAUCUAUUGUACAGCAUGGGUGACUAUAGUUAAUAACAAUGUAUUGUGUACUUGAAAAUUGCUAAGAAAAUAGAUCUGAAGUGUUCUCACUACAAAUAAAUGUUAAGUAUGUGCAGUAAUACAUAUGCUAAUUAGCUUGCUAUGGCCAUUCCAUAGGGUAUACAUAUUUCAAAAUACCGUGUUAUACAACAUAAAUAUGUAUAACUUUUAUUUGUCAAAUAAAAAAUAAGCAUAAAGGUAGAUAGAUGAGAGGGAAAGAAAGAAGGAAAACAGAAAAAGAUAAUAAAGUAUAAAGUGUGAGGAUAAAAGAAAAAGGAAAAGAAAAAGUCUUUAUGAGAAGUUGGGAGAGUGUUUUAAAAAGGAAAUCCAGGUACCUUAGACAUUCAGAGGAAGCUUCCCUAAAAAUGCAUUCUUUCAGGCACUGGGAGGAGCAGUGGGACCUUAGCACCUUCCCUCCGCUUUGUGGACCUAAAGGGUUACAUCUGUAAAAUAGAAAGAAGGCACCUCCCAGCCCAAGAUUUCAGAAACUCUAGGAAGCAGAGUCCAAAUCCAGGCUACCUUCACCACCUCACCCCAGGGCAAACUCCUUCCCCAGGGCUCCCUGUACCUUUGCCCUUCUGUUUCCCCUUCCUGAUUUGGUAGACAGACCUGAUCAACACUGUGAUGAUCAAAAAAAAAGAAAGAAAGACAAUUUGAUGUAUACCAAAGCCCAUGGACAGUAAACUCCUGAGACAUGCUUUGUAUCUCUCUGGGGGAGGGUGGACACCUGCACCUUUCUCCUCAUAACCACCAAAUGAAUUAUGGAGGCCAAAAAGGUGAACCUAUCUGUGUGGAUGGCUGCCAGCUGCUCUGUUGUACUGGUGUGUUAUAAUAACAGUAGUGGAUAUUUCAUGAGUGCUAACUCUGUGCCAAGUACUUAGGCUGUAAGAUCUCACUCAUUCUAAAGGCAAGUCUAGGAGAGAGGCUACUGAACUCUGUUCUGAGAUGAAGGUUCUGGGGCUCCAAGAAGUUGAGUUACUCAAGUUUACACAGCUACUUAGUGCUGGAGUGGUACUCUGAAACCAGAUUAUUUUGACCCCACUUUUUGUUCUCUUAACCACCAACCUACUUUGCUGUCCACCAUACAGGGAGCCCUACCUCCCCAUUCAUCCAGGCCAGCGAAGGCUUCCUGGAAGAAGUGUCAUUUAGGUGGUGCCUGGGAGAGCCAGAAGGCUUUCGAUUUUCACUGUAAGAAAGAUUAGCCAUCUUCCACAAGGAGGUUUUCUUCAGAAUAAAAGGCCCUAGAGACAUUAAAAGGAAACUCAUAAAAAAUUCAUCUCUGAGUAGUAAUUGCAUCAUAAAAAGUAUUGAGUUGGUGUGCAGAUGCAAAUUGGGCCAUAUGAAUUAAUGAUGUAAAUAGUCGGAAUGAGGGUGCACAUUCAGAAAAUGUCCUACACCGUCUUCUUCAGUGUGCUAGGCAAAGUUGGGCCAGGUGGCAGUAUGCCCGGGGGUUUAAGGGACAUUUUUGGACUGCCAAUGACCAUUUUCUCAGGCCUCCAAAUCCUGCUCAGUGUUACUUCUUUAGAACCUCCUGAAUCCAUGGCUAGGCUCGCUGUUUUCUCUUAAUCCACGCUCUCUGAGUGCCUACUGUGUGCUGGGGCUAUUCUGAGGAUGGUGCCAUGCCACCCCUCCAUCCUUCCUGCCCCCUCCCUGCUCACCUCAUGUGAAUGUACUGAUUCCAGUAGAAUGAAGAUGGAUGUUCAUAAACUUGUAUGUACACAUUU